GCUGAAGACAAUUGGCAAUUGCCUGUAAUG
rnacentral:piRNA from 1 species